rnacentral:rRNA from 1 species
GACGAACGCUGGCGGCGUGCUUAACACAUGCAAGUCGAACGGAAAGGCCCUGCUUUUGUGGUGUGCUCGAGUGGCGAACGGGUGAGUAACACGUGAGUAACCUGCCCUUGACUUUGGUAUAACUUCAGGAAACUGGGGCUAAUCCCGGAUAGGAGCUCCUGCUGCAUGGUGGGGGUUGGAACGUUUCGGCGGUUGGGGAUGGACUCGCGGCUUAUCAGCUUGUUGGUGGGGUAGUGGCUUACCAAGGCUUUGACGGGUAGCCGGCCUGAGAGUGUGAACGGCGACAUUGGGACUGAGAGAGGGCCCAGAGUCCUACGGGAGGCAGCAGGGGGGAAUAUUGCACAAUGGGCGGAAGACGGAGGCAGAAACGCCGCGGGCGGGAUGACGGCCUGCGGGUUGUAAACCGCUUUCGCCUGUGACGAAGCGGGAGUGACGGUAAUGGGUAAAGAAGCACCGGCUAACUACGUG